rnacentral:rRNA from 1 species
UCGAGGAUCAUUCGCAAUGGGCGCAAGCCUGACGGUGCGACGCUGCGUGGAGGAUGAAGGCCCUCGGGUUGUAAACUCCUGUCGUGUGGGAACAAUAGUCUGACCGUUAACACCGGUUGGAAAUGAUAGUACCGCAAAAGGAAGCCACGGCUAACUCUGUGCCAGCAGCCGCGGUAAUACAGAGGUGGCGAGCGUUGUUCGGAUUUACUGGGCGUAAAGGGUGCGUAGGUGGCUUUGUAUGUCGGGCGUGAAAUCCCACUGCUCAACGGUGGAACGCCGCCCGAAACUGCAGGGCUAGAGUGCAGGAGAGGAGAGCGGAAUUCUUGGUGUAGCGGUGGAAUGCGUUGAUAUCAAGAAGAACACCAGUGGCGUAGGCGGCUCUCUGGAAUGCAACUGACACUGAGGCACGAAAGCGUGGGGAGCAAACAGG